rnacentral:rRNA from 1 species
GUUUGACCUCGGAUCAGGUAGGGUUACCCGCUGAACUUAAGCAUAUCAAUAAGCGGAGGAAAAGAAACC